rnacentral:rRNA from 1 species
GAUGAACGCUAGCUACAGGCUUAACACAUGCAAGUCGAGGGGAAACGACAUCGAAAGCUUGCUUUUGGUGGGCGUCGACCGGCGCACGGGUGAGUAACGCGUAUCCAACCUGCCCACCACUUGGGGAUAACCUUGCGAAAGUAAGACUAAUACCCAAUGAUAUCCCACGAAGGCAUCCGAAUGGGAUUAAAGAUUUAUCGGUGAUGGAUGGGGAUGCGUCUGAUUAGCUUGUUGGCGGGGUAACGGCCCACCAAGGCAACGAUCAGUAGGGGUUCUGAGAGGAAGGUCCCCCACAUUGGAACUGAGACACGGUCCAAACUCCUACGGGAGGCAGCAGUGAGGAAUAUUGGUCAAUGGGCGAGAGCCUGAACCAGCCAAGUAGCGUGCAGGAAGACGGCCCUAUGGGUUGUAAACUGCUUUUAUAAGGGAAUAAAGUGAGCCUCGUGAGGCUUUUUGCAUGUACCUUAUGAAUAAGGACCGGCUAAUUCCGUG